UGGGGAAUAUUGCACAAUGGGGGAAACCCUGAUGCAGCGACGCCGCGUGCGGGAUGACGGCCUUCGGGUUGUAAACCGCUUUCAGCAGGGACGAAGAUGACGGUACCUGCAGAAGAAGCGCCGGCUAACUACGUGCCAGCAGCCGCGGUAAUACGUAGGGCGCAAGCGUUGUCCGGAAUUAUUGGGCGUAAAGAGCUCGUAGGCGGUCUGUCGCGUCGGAUGUGAAAGCUCGCAGCUUAACUGCGGGUCUGCAUCCGAUACGGGCAGACUAGAGGCAGGUAGGGGAGAACGGAAUUCCCGGUGUAGCGGUGAAAUGCGCAGAUAUCGGGAGGAACACCGGUGGCGAAGGCGGUUCUCUGGGCCUGUACUGACGCUGAGGAGCGAAAGCGUGGGGAGCGAACAGG
rnacentral:rRNA from 1 species